rnacentral:rRNA from 1 species
GACGAACGCUGGCGGCGUGCUUAACACAUGCAAGUCGAACGGUAAGGCCCCUUCGGGGGUACACGAGUGGCGAACGGGUGAGUAACACGUGCGCAACCUGCCCUUGACUCUGGAAUAACAGUUGGAAACAGCUGCUAAUACUGGAUAUUCAUCGUCUCCUUCCUGGGGGGUGGUGGAAAGCUCCGGCGGUCAGGGAUGGGCUCGCGGCCUAUCAGCUUGUUGGUGAGGUAAUGGCUCACCAAGGCUUCGACGGGUAGCCGGCCUGAGAGGGCGACCGGCCACACUGGGACUGAGAUACGGCCCAGACUCCUACGGGAGGCAGCAGUGGGGAAUAUUGCACAAUGGGCGCAAGCCUGAUGCAGCAACGCCGCGUGCGGGAUGACGGCCUUCGGGUUGUAAACCGCUUUCAGUAGGGACGAAGGGUGACUGACGGUACCUACAGAAGAAGGACCGGCUAACUACGUG